rnacentral:rRNA from 2 species
AACUCUGGUAUUGAUUGGUGCUUGCAUCAUGAUUUACAUUUGAGUGAGUGGCGAACUGGUGAGUAACACGUGGGAAACCUGCCCAGAAGCGGGGGAUAACACCUGGAAACAGAUGCUAAUACCGCAUAACAACUUGGACCGCAUGGUCCGAGCUUGAAAGAUGGCUUCGGCUAUCACUUUUGGAUGGUCCCGCGGCGUAUUAGCUAGAUGGUGGGGUAACGGCUCACCAUGGCAAUGAUACGUAGCCGACCUGAGAGGGUAAUCGGCCACAUUGGGACUGAGACACGGCCCAAACUCCUACGGGAGGCAGCAGUAGGGAAUCUUCCACAAUGGACGAAAGUCUGAUGGAGCAACGCCGCGUGAGUGAAGAAGGGUUUCGGCUCGUAAAACUCUGUUGUUAAAGAAGAACAUAUCUGAGAGUAACUGUUCAGGUAUUGACGGUAUUUAACCAGAAAGCCACGGCUAACUACGUGCCAGCAGCCGCGGUAAUACGUAGGUGGCAAGCGUUGUCCGGAUUUAUUGGGCGUAAAGCGAGCGCAGGCGGUUUUUUAAGUCUGAUGUGAAAGCCUUCGGCUCAACCGAAGAAGUGCAUCGGAAACUGGGAAACUUGAGUGCAGAAGAGGACAGUGGAACUCCAUGUGUAGCGGUGAAAUGCGUAGAUAUAUGGAAGAACACCAGUGGCGAAGGCGGCUGUCUGGUCUGUAACUGACGCUGAGGCUCGAAAGUAUGGGUAGCAAACAGGAUUAGAUACCCUGGUAGUCCAUACCGUAAACGAUGAAUGCUAAGUGUUGGAGGGUUUCCGCCCUUCAGUGCUGCAGCUAACGCAUUAAGCAUUCCGCCUGGGGAGUACGGCCGCAAGGCUGAAACUCAAAGGAAUUGACGGGGGCCCGCACAAGCGGUGGAGCAUGUGGUUUAAUUCGAAGCUACGCGAAGAACCUUACCAGGUCUUGACAUACUAUGCAAAUCUAAGAGAUUAGACGUUCCCUUCGGGGACAUGGAUACAGGUGGUGCAUGGUUGUCGUCAGCUCGUGUCGUGAGAUGUUGGGUUAAGUCCCGCAACGAGCGCAACCCUUAUUAUCAGUUGCCAGCAUUAAGUUGGGCACUCUGGUGAGACUGCCGGUGACAAACCGGAGGAAGGUGGGGAUGACGUCAAAUCAUCAUGCCCCUUAUGACCUGGGCUACACACGUGCUACAAUGGAUGGUACAACGAGUUGCGAACUCGCGAGAGUAAGCUAAUCUCUUAAAGCCAUUCUCAGUUCGGAUUGUAGGCUGCAACUCGCCUACAUGAAGUCGGAAUCGCUAGUAAUCGCGGAUCAGCAUGCCGCGGUGAAUACGUUCCCGGGCCUUGUACACACCGCCCGUCACACCAUGAGAGUUUGUAACACCCAAAGUCGGUGGGGUAACCUUUUAG